UCGAGAAUCUUUCGCAAUGGGCGAAAGCCUGACGGAGCGACGCUGUGUGAGUGAUGAAGGCCCUCGGGUUGUAAAACUCUUUCGCCUGGGAACAAGAUUAACUAACUAACAUUUAGUUGAUUUGAGGGUACCAGGUAAAGAAGCACCGGCUAACUACGUGCCAGCAGCUGCGGUAAUACGUAGGGUGCAAGCAUUAAUCGGAUUUAUUGGGCGUAAAGGGGGCGUAGGCGGAAAAGUAAGUCAGAUGUGAAAUCCCGGGACUCAACCCCGGAACUGCAUUUGAAACUACUUUCCUUGAGGGUAGGCGGAGAAAACGGAAUUCCACAUGUAGCGGUGAAAUGCGUAGAUAUGUGGAAGAACACCUGUGGCGAAAGCGGUUUUCUAGCUUAUUCCUGACGCUAAUGCCCGAAAGCUAGGGGAGCAAACA
rnacentral:rRNA from 1 species